UUUAGGAGAGAGCAAGAGACAGGUAUGUGAGGUAGAUGUUACUCUGGGAGGCCAUAAGCUUUCCUAAAGAGACGUGUUUUAAGGCACUUCUUAAACGAUUGAAGACUAGGGGAGAGUCUGAUGGCGGUAGGCAGGCUAUUCCAUAGGAAGGGAGCCGCCCGCGAGAAGUCCUGCAAGCAUGAGUUGACAGUGCGGGUGCGAGCAG